rnacentral:rRNA from 1 species
UAGUAACGGCGAGUGAAGCGGGAUGAGCUCAAGCUUAAAAUCUCUGUGCCAGUUUGGCAUGGCGAAUUGUAGUCUAUGGAGGCGCUGUCAGUGCGACUAUACGGGGUAAGUUCCUUGGAAGAGGACAGCAUCGAGGGUGAUACUCCCGUAUGUACCUGUGUAGUUGCGCGUACGACACGUUUUCUUUGAGUCGCGUUGUUUGGGAAUGCAGCGCAAAGUAGGUGGUAAAUUCCAUCUAAAGCUAAAUAUUGGUGCGAGACCGAUAGCGAACAAGUACCGUGAGGGAAAGAUGAAAAGAACUUUGAAAAGAGAGUUAAAGAGUACCUGAAACUGCUGAAAGGGAACCGAAUCGUUUCCAGUGUCUAUAAUCUAUGGCAUAUUUCAUUGGCGUGUGGAUGUGUGUAGCGUUUUGGAAGUAGGUUUCUGCUCCUGGCGUUGCUUUGCGUUCGCUUGCUGGUGCCCUGUGCUGUAGUGGGACGUCAGAGUCAGUUCGUAUGCUGCGGGAAAUGGUUAUUGGGGAGGUAGGUCGCUUCGGUGGCUGUUAUAUCCUGGUAACUAGUCGUCGUGGUUGGGACUGAGGUGCCUACAACGUGCUUUCGAGUCUGCGGGCCUCUCGUUUGGCUGUUUGCUUUGAUAGCUUGCUAUGUUUGCGAACGUGUCAGGCGAUUGAGACCUGUAGUAACUUGUUGCCGUUCGGGACUUUGAC